AGCCACUAGUUUACCAGUUGUCUGACAAGGCAAUGCUGGGCAGCCACGCUUUAAGGGAUAAAUGCUGAAAGCAUCUAAGCAUGAAGCCCACCCUAAGACGAGGCAUCAUAGAACUCGAAUAAAAGAUUCGUUUGAUAGGGCUAGGGUGUAAGCACGAAGCUUCGGCGACGUGUUCAGCCCGUGGUUACUAAAUCCGAACCCGGCAGUUA
rnacentral:ncRNA from 1 species